UACGUAGGGUGCAAGCGUUGUCCGGAUUUAUUGGGCGUAAAGAGCUCGUAGGCGGUUUGUCACGUCGGAUGUGAAAACUUGGGGCUUAACCCUAAGCCUGCAUUCGAUACGGGCAGACUAGAGGAUGGCAGGGGAGACUGGAACUCCUGGUGUAGCGGUGGAAUGCGCAGAUAUCAGGAAGAACACCGGUGGCGAAGGCGGGUCUCUGGGCCAUUACUGACGCUGAGGAGCGAAAGCGUGGGGAGCAAACAGGAUUAGAAACCCCAGUAGUCC
rnacentral:rRNA from 1 species